ACAAUUUGUUUUACUUCAAAGAGAAAAACGUUUUCUGCUUCCCCUGCAGGAAAUGGGAGUUAAAGACUCAUGUGAGCUUUUGCAGUGAGUAUUAAUUUUCUUUCUUGCUUUAAUUUUUUUUCUUCUUCCUCCCUCUGUAAUCUAACUUGAAAGCUUUGCUAGUUUGAGCCUAUAUAAUUAUAGAGUAUUCUCAAGGAUGAAUAUCUUUCUACUCUGCCCCUGCUGGAGUAGGCGUGCUUAACUGCAUUAUGAUAAUUUUUGUGGAUUGUUGAGUUGGUAGGAAAAUAGGGAUCUGUGAUUUGAUACCGGAGUAUAUCAGAAAAAGAGAUUUUCAACAGCUUUUGAGUUUUACAGUAGUCAUGGGAUAUUAGAAUACAACCACACGUAACAUCUGAGCCGAAGCCCUUUGUAUUUUGUAUAGAAGUAGACAUACAUGCACUGAAAUUUACUCUUCUAUUAAACUGCCUGUGUUUAGAAAAGUCAUUUAUUUGCUGAUUAAGCUUUCAGUUGGCUAUGUAGG